GACGAACGCUGGCGGCGUGGAUUAGGCAUGCAAGUCGGACGGUAGGGCUUUAUCGUAAGAUAGAGUUUGAGAGUGGCGAAUGGGUGAGUAACACGUAGGAAUCUACCCUUAAGACGGGGACAACCCAGGGAAACUUGGGCUAAUACCGGAUGAGAGUGCGAGAGAUUGCAUUUAAAAGGAUGGCGAAAGUUAUCGCUUAGGGAUGAGCCUGCGGUCUAUUAGUUAGUUGGUGGGGUAAGAGCUCACCAAGGCGAUGAUAGAUAGGCGGCCUUAACGGGUGGUCGCCCACACUGGGAUUGAGAUACGGCCCAGACUCCUACGGGAGGCAGCAGUCGAGAAUAGUCUACAAUGGCCGGAAGGCUGAUAGUGCGACGCCGCGUGAACGAGGGAGCCCUUCGGGGUGUAAAGUUCUUUUCUUAUACGAGCAGUGCUAUAUAUAUGGAUAGUAUAUAUAGAGGGAUAGUAGUAUAGGAAUAAGAACGGCUAACUCCGUGCCAGCAGCCG
rnacentral:rRNA from 1 species